rnacentral:rRNA from 1 species
UGAGAAUUUGAUCCUGGUUCAGGAUUAAUGCUAGCGGCGUGCCUAAGGUAUGCAAGUCGAACGGAUUAUUACACAGUCUAGCUUGCUAGACACCGUAAUAAUUAGUGGCGAACGGCUGAGUAAUACAUAGGAAUCUACCCCUAACUCGGGAAUAACCAAUCGAAAGAUUGGCUAAUACCCGAUGUGGAGGAAACUCCAAAGAUUUAUCGGUUAGGGAAGAGCCUGUGGCCUAUCAGCUAGUUGGUGGGGUAAUUGCCCACCAAGGCUAUGACGGGUACCGGGCCUGAGAGGGCGUACCGGCAGAGGGGCACUGAGACACGGGCCUCACUCCUACGGGAGGCAGCAAUCGGGAAUCUUGCGCAAUGGACGAAAGUCUGACGCAGCGACGCCGCGUGGAGGAUGAAUGCCUUCGGGUUGUAAACUCACGUCAAAAAGCACCGGCUAACUACGUGCCAGCAGCAGCGGUCAAACGUAGGGUGCAAGCAUUAUCCGGAUUUACUGGGCGUAAAGAGUUCUGUAGGCGGCAGUAUAAGUUGGAGGUUAAAUCUUUCGGCCCAACCGAAAGGCUGCUUUCAAUACUGUAUUGCUAGAGUCAGCUAGGGGACAGUGGAAUUCGUGGUGGAGCGGUGAAAUGCGUUGAUAUCACGAGGAACACCAAGGGGGAAGCCAACUGUCUGGGGCUGUACUGACGCUGAGAGACGAAAGCUAGGGGAGAGAAAAGGAUUAGAUACCCUUGUAUUCCUAGCUGUAAACUAUGCCUGCUAGAUACUUGGUUUUUAAACUGAGCGUCGAAGCUAACGCGUUAAGCAGGCCGCCUGGGGAGUACUACCGCAAGGUUGAAACUCAAAGGAAUUGGCGGGGACCCGCACAAGCGGUGGAGCAUGCUCUUUAAUUGGUUGCUAACCCAAGAACCUUACCCAGACUUGACAUGUUUGUAGUAGUGAACCGAAAGGGGAACGAUCCUAAUUUAUUAGGAAGCAUACACAGGUGUUGCAUGGCUGUCGUCAGCUCGUACCGUGAGGCGUACCCUUAAGUGGGUUAACGAGCGCAACCCCUACUGCUAGUUGUAUCACUUUAGCGGAACUGCCAUCGUAAGAUGGAGGAAGGUGGGGACGACGUCAAGUCGGUAUUGCCCUUAUGUCUGGGGCCAGAAGCAUGCUACAAUGGCGCGUACAAUGAGUUGCUUUGCUGCGAAGCACGGCUAAUCUUUUAAAACGCGUCUCAGUUCGGAUUGAAGUCUGCAAUUCGACUUCAUGAAGUUGGAAUCGCUAGUAAUCGUCGGUCAGCUAUACGACGGUGAAUACGUUCUCGGGUCUUGCACACACUGCCCGUCACAUCAGCAAAGCUGAGGUCGCCUGAAGUACCUCUUUAGAGGUCCCAUGGUGAAAUCAGUGAUGAGGGUGAAGUCGUAACAAGGUAGCCGUAGGGGAAUCUGCGGCUG